rnacentral:rRNA from 1 species
AUUGAACGCUGGCGGCAGGCCUAACACAUGCAAGUCGAACGGUAACAGGAAGAAGCUUGCUUCUUUACUGACGAGUGGCGGACGGGUGAGUAAUGUCUGGGAAACUGCCUGAUGGAGGGGGAUAACUACUGGAAACGGUAGCUAAUACCGCAUAACGUCGCAAGACCAAAGAGGGGGACCUUCGGGCCUCUUGCCAUCGGAUUUGCCCAGAUGGGAUUAGCUAGUUGGUGGGGUAACGGCUCACCAAGGAGACGAUCCCUAGCUGGUCUGAGAGGAUGACCAGCCACACUGGAACUGAGAAAAGGUCCAGACUCCUACGGGAGGCAGCAGUGGGGAAUAUUGCGCAAUGGGCGCAAGCCUGAUGCAGCGAUGCCGCGUGUAUGAAGAAGGCCUUCGGGUUGUAAAGUACUUUCAGCGGGGAGGAAGGGAGUAAAGUUAAUACCUUUGCUCAUUGACGUUACCCGCAGAAGAAGCACCGGCUAACUCCGUGCCAGCCGCCGCAGUAA